rnacentral:rRNA from 1 species
ACGGCUCAGUAACACGUCGAUAAUCUGCCCUUUAAGUCUGGGAUAACCUUGGGAAACUGAGGAUAACACCGGAUGGAAAAACAAUUCUGGAACGAGUGUUUUUUUAAAAGCAAUGCUUAAGGAUGAGUCGGCGGCGGAUUAGGUAGUGUCGGUGUAAAAGACCAACAAGCCGAAGAUCCGUAAGGGCCUUUAGCGAGGGAGCCCUGAGAAGGAAUCUGAGACACUAUUCCUAGCCCUACGGGGUGCAGCAGCUAAGAAUUUUCUGCAAUAUGCGAAAGCGUGACAGAGCGAGCCAAAGUGUUUUUCCGCAUAGGAAAAACUUUUGCUUACUGUAAAAAAGUAGGCGAAUAGGGACUGGGCAAGACCGGUGCCAGCCGCCGCGGUAAUCCCGGCGGUCCAAGUCGCAACCAUCAUUAUUGGGUCUAAAACAUCCGUAGCUUGUUUCGUAAGUCUCCUGUGAAAUUCUGUCUCUUAAGGGCAGAGCGUGCAGGAGAUACUGCGUUGCUAGAGACCGGAGGAUGUAGGGAGUACAGCGAAGGUAGUGGUAAAAUAUGUUAAUCUUCGCUGGACUAACAAGAGCGAAGGCACCCUACAAAUACGGUUCUGACAGUGAGGGAUGAAGGCUAGGGGCGCAAAAUGGAUUAGAUACCCAUGUAGUCCUAGCAGUAAACACUGCACACUAAACAUCGGGAUCUCCUCGAGAGAUUUCGGUGCUGUACCGAAGGGGAAGAGUGUGCUACCUGGGAAGUAUAGCCGCAAGGCCGAAACUUAAAGGAAUUGGCGGGGGAG